CCCCUAGAUGUUCUGGGUCGCACGCGCGCUACACUGAACAGUUCAACAAGUCUUAACCUUGGCCGAUAGGUCUGGGUAAUCUUUGAACGCUGUUCGUGACUGGGAUAGACCUUUGCAAUUAUGGGUCUUCAACGAGGAAUUCCUAGUAAACGCAAGUCAUCAGCCUGCAUUGAUUACGUCCCUGCCCUUUGUACACACCGCCCGUCGCACCUACCGAUUGAAUGGUCCGGUGAAAUCUCGGGACGGCGGCUUGGUCGCUUGCGUCCGACUGCUGAAACUUGAUUAAACCAUAUCAUUUAGAGGAAGGUGAAGUCGUAACA
rnacentral:rRNA from 1 species